AGUCGUGGGGGCAGCGCGGGUAGCAAUACUUGGCGGCGACCGGCAAACGGGUGCGGAACACGCUACGCAACCUUUCCUCAAAGCGGGGGAUAGCCUCUCGAAAGAGAGAUUAAUACCCCAUAGAAUCUUGUCCCUGCAUGGGGGUGAGAUUAAAGCUCCGGCACUUUGAGAUGGGCGUGCGGCUGAUUAGGUAGUUGGUAGGGUAACGGCCUACCAAGCCGACGAUCAGUAGCUGAUGUGAGAGCAUGAUCAGCCACACGGGCACUGAGACACGGGCCCGACUCCUACGGGAGGCAGCAGUGAGGAAUAUUGGUCAAUGGACGCAAGUCUGAACCAGCCAUGCCGCGUGGAGGAUGAAGGUCCUCUGGAUUGUAAACUCCUUUUAUAAAAGAAGAAACCCCGGUAUUCUUACCGGGUUGACGGUACUUUAUGAAUAAGCACCGGCUAACUCCGUGCCANGCAGCCGCGGUAAUACGGAGGGUGCAAGCGUUAUCCGGAUUCACUGGGUUUAAAGGGAGCGUA
rnacentral:rRNA from 1 species